rnacentral:misc_RNA from 1 species
GGAAAUUUUGUCCACGCUAGGAGUAGCAUCAUGCCCAACAAACAAUAACAUCUGAACAAAAUUUUUUUCCACAUUAUUGUAAGAUUUAUUUACAGAAGUAUCCUGCUGCUUCCAAAGAGAAAAAAUUAAGGAAGCGACAGAAUUACAUAGGUCAUUGUUUUGAAGGUUGGUAUUUACAAGGUAUUUCUUUGCAUAUUGCUUGUUACGAAAACGAGCAAGUCAAUCCUUACUGAGGUUAUUCUUUACCAUCUCCACGACUCUCUGUGAUAAAUUCUCAGCAAACGUUUCUAACAGAGGUUCCAAUCCUGAAACUUCAACCUUACUUCUCCAGCAUGAAGAUCUUUUUCUACAUUGCACCAUUUGUGCAACUGCAUCAAGUUUUUCCACGAUUGAUGGAAGUAACUUGCCUGCCUCAUCAUAUAACUUAGCUCCAGCUCCAUCUGAAAUAUCUUCUUUACUGAUCAGACUUCGUAAUUCUGUGAAUAAAUUUAAAACAUUCUCAGCAGCAGCAUCCAAGUUGAGCAAUGCUUCCCUGCACGCUGUUUUUCUUCGCUGCAAACUACUUGCUUCGGGUAUAUCUUCCCUUUGAUGCAUGGCUUCUUUGACUUUUACAGAACCUUCUGCAGGGGAAAAUUCUGUUGAUUUGCCUUGUGAUAGUGUGUGACUUGAGAUCUGUGUAGAGUUCUUCACCUCCUGUUUACAAGAAUUCAUCUCUUGCACUUCUUCCGGAUUCUGGAUCACUGGAUUCUCUAAGGUGGUAUGUAAUUUAGUUUCUACCCCAUAUUUUAAGGUUAUACCACCUUCAUUGGCUGGUGUGUCAAACAAUCUCUUGCAAUCUCCAUGAUAGUCCCGCUGCACAACAUAUCGUGCAGAGUACCUUCUUCUCACUGAUGAUGUACUUCUCUCCACCUUGCAACUUGCCGAUAAACUGCAAAAAUGCUGCCUGAAAAGAUCAUUGUCUUCAGGUUUCAUAUGGUAGUAAUCAUCUUCCAUAGCCUUUUGCAUUUGGCUUCCAAAUUUAUGCAAACUCAGCUGGUCCACCAUGUGACCAGAAACUGGCUUAUAACAUGUACUUGUCUUAUGCCCAGGAGGGCUUUGUGCUGCAGGAAACCACAUAACCAUGAUAAGAAAAGAAUUGCACUAAAUGACAUAAACUUUAUUAAUACACAUCUUUUAAUUGCAAUAAGCCAUGAACUAUUCAGCCUCAAAUAGAUGCUAGGCAGUGCAUUCUGAGUAUUGUCAUGACUUGCAUAUUAGGUGGCACAUAUCAAACCUAAAAUAAAAGGAUACUCUCAACAUGCAAAGAACUGGGGUAGAAAAAAGCAAAAUUAAGAGACAUGAACUUCCAAGUAGACCACUUUCAAUUGGAUGACUGCUGUAUACUAGACGAAGUCCCAACAAGCAGCAAUAUCAAGCAACCUGACCAAAGUAAAUCUUCAAGCAUAGUGGAGAUGCUGAAACAGCCACUUAUGCGAACAAUUCGAUUGCAGACAAUCAUGUUGCUUAAGAUCUAUCUAAGUGGGUGCCACCACACUACAGAUUUCAAUGUUCUCAGCCAAAAUGAGGAAAUAAGACUGCCUCCACAUAUAUUGUGUGAUGCUGAAGUGUUUCAUAACCUAAUAUCUGCAUUCUGCAGGUUAUAUAAUAUUGUGGCCUCACAAAAUAGACUAUGCUAAUAGAUUGUGAAUUAUGUUUGCUGCAGUUUGCCAAUCACCAGAUAGGAUACUAAGGGCAUAUUAGACACAGCCCAUGAAGCAUGCAAAAAUCAUGCAUGAAGCAAGCAAAUAUCUUAAAAGUGCACUCCUGAUUAUCUGUAUUUCCUUUUGUCAUCUGAAUAUUUUCCAUAGAAAAAGUUAGAAGAAAUUGACUUGGAAGAGUUUUUAUCAUUUUGAUCUCACACUAUCUUCAUUUGAUGAAUAACUCGGCAUAACUUUGCUAUGUGGAAAUAAAGAUCCGCCUUACACAAAUUGGAUGACAAGACCGGUAUCUUCAGAUCCGUAAAAAGCUGCACCUCUGGAGAAUUGAGUAGAUCAAGACAUACAGUAUAAACGUUAAGCCAGUUAUUGUUCCUGGCAAAAUAGCUGAUGCACAUAAGCGAAGCAAUGAGUAGGGAGAAAACAAAGUGACUACUAUUUAACAAGACAUAAUUAUUACAUAACACCAUUGAACACUCACUUGAGAGUUUCUUGAGACAUUGUUGAAGUUCGGCUGCUAUUAAUAUCAGGAGAAGUUUUGGACAAGCUGCUGAGGCAUGAUUCAUUGCCUUGCACAUCAGGACUCAAUUGAGUUUGAGCUUCAUGGCAGAUAUUACCAUAUUCCCCACCAUCACUAACCAAGGGAGAGGGGCUUUUUUCUUCUACUUGUUGUGGCUGAGAUGAGGUUAUAUCAGGAUUCACUAGAAGACCAGAAUGUGCAACUUUAGUUUGUGCCCACAUGGGAAGUCUUGAAAUGCUAAACCUAAAUGUUGAUGUCCUUCGAGUCCCCGCUCCUUGGUCAAGCACCUUUUGUGCAACUUGGGCGGAAUUUGGCAAAAGUACAUCUUUAGAAUUAAUUAUCCACUGCUGGUCUUCCUGUUCAGAAAAUAUGAUUUGACUAAAAGCAGCAGAAGGGACUGAAUUAUUGAAAGUCAACGGACCAGCAUUUCCCUUCAUUCUCUGCAGUAUCCUGGAAGAAAUAUGAGCAGGCAGUUUCCACACAAAUAUGCAACCAUCACCCCCCACAGACACCACAUGCUUGCAGUCAGGUAAAAAGAUGACACCAGUUACAACUUCACCAUGUCCCAUGACUUGCACAACCAUUUCUCCACUGAUAGAGUCAUACAUGCACAUAGACUUGUUAGAGUAGGAGACAACCAGAUAACUGCAGCUUGGGUCCAUUGUAACCUUAAUUGGAUCUCCAAAAUCUUUAUCCUGCUUGAAUGAUCUAAUAAGCUUCCCAGAAGCAAUGUUGAAUGCAUUGAUCUUCUUAUCCUGUCCAACUGUGACAACAAACUCCAUUGUUGGAUCUACAGCCAUGUCAUAGACAGUUCCAUGAGAUGCUAGUUGAUGAUGACGACGCAAAAUCUGAUGACCACUAUCUGUUGCAGAAACAUCCCGGAACACCAGAGACCUAUCAGCACUACAACUGAGAAUCUUACAGCCAUGGCAAGUAAGCUUUACAGAGGUCACAGCAGCUGAGUGGUCAUCAAUACUUUCAAUGAGAUCAAAAUUCCUUUUGCCAUCAUAAAGAUGGAUGAUUCUGUCUCGUCCCCCUGAUGCAAGGAAGUAAUUGCCAUCCGCAACAUCUUCGGAAAUAUCACCUUUGUUGGUUGACAAGCCAAAGCUCAGUGAAAGGAUCUCUGCUUCAUGGACACCCUCAAAACAAGUAUAAUCAGAUGUAAGUAGGUUAUAGAUGUGAAGGUUCCCUUCACAAUCACCAGCUGCCAAAUAAUUUCCAUCUGAGCUAGCAGCCAUUGACCGAAACCCUUGGGUAUUAGUGCUUGCCUCCAUGGUAUCUCGCUCGAAAAUCCCAGCACUUACUAAAUUUGCAGUGGCCACUGAUUCAGUAUUCAAAAAAUGAUGGUCAGCAUCAUCAUCUACCAAGUCAGGUUGCAAUGCAAGGUCCCAUAACCUAAUAGUACCAUCAGCUGAGCAUGUUGCAAAAGAAACUCCACCAGGACAACCUCUAGCAACACAUGCAAGUGACGGAUCAUGCAUGUUUUCACAACAAAGAUUUUUGACAUCCCAUAUGCAUGCAGAGUGCGAAACUAACAUGCAACUCCUGGUGGCCUUGCUCAUAUCAUGGAUAUCCCAUAUGUAGAGAGUAUGAUCUCCAUAAACAACCACCAAAUUUUCUGAGGUAGAGAAUUGACAAGCUACUGCAUCAGGAAGAGCAGGCACAGGUUGAAAAUCCUUUCCAGCAGCACUGGGAUGGUAAACAUCAGUUCCCACCAGGGAACUUUGGGCUUUGGAGUAUAGCAAACUUCCAACGUAAUCGAGAGUCCCACUCAUAAAGAGUAGUACGAUGCCAUUAGAACAUGCACAAGCAACGAGCUUAUCAGAUGCAGAAAGAGCAAAGCCUUUUUCAACCUUUAAGUCCACUGAAUUUCUUACUGACAACCCAUAAUCCACAAGGCAUAGAACACCUUCAUCAGUUAAUGCAUAAAUACCAAAUGGAUCACCAACUUGUUUAUUAUUAACAACACAACUACUGGUCAGGAUUGCAGAUGUCACAGAAGUAAAUGAGCUUCCUUUCUGAGGACCAAGAUUAACAGGUUUUCCAUGCAUUGUCAGUGACAAUGUUCCUUUGUUUAAGCGGGUCCCUGGAGAUGAUCCAAUUGUCCAGAUUUUCAAGUGCUUCUUUCCAGCAGUAAUAACAAAUUUAGCAUCUGCUGAGAAGCUUACAGAUGUAACAGCAGAACAAGAUGAGCUCGCUUUUAUCUUUGUAACCAGCAUUCCACUCCGCCAAUUCCAAAGAUAAAUAUAUCCUCCAACAGACACAAGAUGUUCCCCAUCAGGUGAGAAAGCAAUGCACUCAACACCAUAUAAAUGAUCCUUCAGUUCAGAUACAAAGGCCAGAGUUGAACAGUCCCAAACUAAUACUGCAGGUUGAUUUCCUGACUCGCCGGCAGCGAUAAAACGCCCAUCCCGUGACACCGCAACACAGCUCAAGGGUUUCGGGGUUCUAUGAGACACCAUGAGAUGCGAUUGUUUGCCGGAAUCCACACUGUAAACCACCACCACGCAUCCUGCCACGUAAGCACAGCUUGAGGUGGAAAUAUUGGAAGCCAAUCCAUUGGCAUUCUUUGUCGUCAAUCCAAUAAUCUCUUCCAAUAUUAGCUUGGAAGACGUAUCUUGCUUCUUGGACCUGCGAUUUGUUUUCAUUUUGAAUUGAAAG